rnacentral:rRNA from 1 species
AGAGUUUGAUCCUGGCUCAGAACGAACGCUGGCGGCAUGCCUAACACAUGCAAGUCGAACGAACCCUUCGGGGUUAGUGGCGCACGGGUGCGUAACGCGUGGGAAUCUGCCCUUGGGUUCGGAAUAACAGUUAGAAAUGACUGCUAAUACCGGAUGAAGUCUUCGGACCAAAGAUUUAUCGCCCAGGGAUGAGCCCGCGUAGGAUUAGGUAGUUGGUGGGGUAAAGGCCUACCAAGCCGACGAUCCUUAGCUGGUCUGAGAGGAUGAUCAGCCACACUGGGACUGAGACACGGCCCAGACUCCUACGGGAGGCAGCAGUGGGGAAUAUUGGACAAUGGGGGAAACCCUGAUCCAGCAAUGCCGCGUGAGUGAUGAAGGCCUUCGGGUCGUAAAGCUCUUUUACCAGGGAUGAUAAUGACAGUACCUGGAGAAUAAGCUCUGGCUAACUCCGUGCCAGCAGCCGCGGUAAUACGGAGGGAGCUAGCGUUGUUCGGAAUUACUGGGCGUAAAGCGCACGUAGGCGGUUACUCAAGUCAGAGGUGAAAGCCCGGGGCUCAACCCCGGAACUGCCUUUGAAACUAGGUGACUUGAAUCUUGGAGAGGCGAGUGGAAUUCCGAGUGUAGAGGUGAAAUUCAUAGAUAUUCGGAAGAACACCAGUGGCGAAGGCGACUCGCUGGACAAGUAUUGACGC